UGAGAGAGCGCUUAGUGAUUUAGUGAAACAUAAACCACUGCGUGACAUUGGGUACAUCAUUCGCAAACCUGAAGGGCAACUGCAGAAAAUAUAAGGGCUUUCUCUUUGGGGAAGGUAUCAUCACUCAGAGUCAUUGUCUUUGCUCAGUGGGACUGUGAAUUAGACAGAAAAACCGCAACAAAGACCGGGCGAUCGCACUCUGGUAACCCAGGCACUCAGACCUGAAUGAUCCUACUGUUGUUGUAGCACCACUGGGAAUGAUUAAGCACAGAGUAAGCCCAUUGCAGUGGCAGUGAGCUACCCCUGGGUCAGUGACUCUUAAAAACUACCAGGAGCCGCAAAUGUAACUGUUCACUUUUUUAAAAAAACAGUAACAGAGGAUAUGGAUGGCCUCCAGUUCUGGAUUGAAUAUCGUACACUCUCAUUAUAAGAUGUGUCAGCAUUACAAACAGAAAAGCAUUGACAAUUAUCAGCCCUGGCAUAUCUAGUGGCAUAUUAUGUAGCUGCUUCUGUCCAUGGCCAGGGCAUAUUUCAGGCCAUGUUUGUUUUGAAAAGGGUGAUUUUAACUCUUUCCCCAGACUGACUGUGCCAAAUCAGGGGGACAUCGCUGCCCAUGGCCACUGCUGAAUUCACUCAAACCACCA